GGGUCGUUAGCUCAAUGGCAGAGCACUCGGCUCAUAACCGAAGCGUUGCAGGUUCGAAUCCUGCACGACCCACCA
rnacentral:tRNA from 1 species